rnacentral:rRNA from 1 species
GGUCACUGCUAUUGGGAUUCGACUAAGCCAUGCGAGUCGAGAGGGUUCGGCCCUCGGCUGACGGCUCAGUAACACGUGGAUAAUCUGCCCUUAGGUGGAGGAUACGCUCGGGAAACUGAGAAUAAUACUCCAUAGGCCUAGGAUGCUGGAAUGCACUUAGGCUGAAAACUCCGGUGCCUAAGGAUGAGUCUGCGGACUAUCAGGUUGUAGUCAGGGUAAAGACCUGACUAGCCUACGACGGAUACGGGUUGUGAGAGCAAUAACCCGGAGAUGAUAUCUGAGACACGAUAUCAGGCCCUACGGGGCGCAGCAGGCGCGAAAACUUCACACUGUGCGAGAGCACGAUGAGGGAAUCCCAAGUGCUUGCUCGUAAGAGUAAGCUGUUUCUAUGUUUAAAACGCGUAGAGAGUAAGGGCUGGGUAAGACGGGUGCCAGCCGCCGCGGUAAUACCUGCAGCUCAAGUGGUGACCGUUAUUAUUGGGCCUAAAACGUCCGUAGCCGGUUUAAUAAAUGCCUGGGUAAAUUGUGUAGCUUAACUAUACGAAUUCCGGGUAGACUGCUAAACUUGAGACCGGGAGAAGCUAGAGGUACUCCUGGGGUAGAGGUGAAAUUCUGUAAUCCUAGGGGGACCACCAGUGGUGAAGGCGUCUAGCUAGAACGGGUCUGACGGUGAGGGACGAAGCCCUGGGGCGCAAACCGGAUUAGAUACCCGGGUAGUCCAGGGUGUAAACGCUGCUUGCUAGAUGUUAGUCGGGCUCCGAGCCCGAUUGGUGUCGGAGAGAAGUUGUUAAGCAAGCUGCCUGGGAAGUACGGUCGCAAGACUGAAACUUAAAGGAAUUGGCGGGGGAGCACAGCAACGGGUGGAGCGUGCGGUUU